rnacentral:piRNA from 1 species
UGAACUCCGAGUGGCUAGUUGAGGCUGGAGC